GAGGGUAUAGCUCAGUGGUAGAGUGAGUGCUUAAUACGCAUAAGGUCCUAGGUUCAAUCCCCACUAUCUCUA
rnacentral:tRNA from 1 species